AGUGGGGAAUCUUGCGCAAUGGGCGAAAGCCUGACGCAGCAACGCCGCGUGCGGGAUGACGGCCUUCGGGUUGUAAACCGCUUUCAGUGGGGACGAAAUCAGACGGUACCCACAGAAGAAGCCCCGGCCAACUACGUGCCAGCAGCCGCGGUAACACGUAGGGGGCGAGCGUUGUCCGGAUUCAUUGGGCGUAAAGAGCUCGUAGGCGGCUCAGUAAGUCGGGUGUGAAACCCUCAGGCUCAACCUGGGGACGCCACUCGAUACUGCUGUGGCUAGAGUCCAGUAGAGGAGUGUGGAAUUCCCGGUGUAGCGGUGAAAUGCGCAGAUAUCGGGAGGAACACCAACGGCGAAGGCAGCACUCUGGGCUGGAACUGACGCUGAGGAGCGAAAGCGUGGGUAGCAAA
rnacentral:rRNA from 1 species